rfam:Triticum aestivum genome assembly, contig: Triticum_aestivum_CS42_TGACv1_scaffold_157957_2DL
UACGUACUCCCUCCAUCCGGAAAUAUUUGUCAUCAAAAUGGAUAAAAGGGAAUGUAUGUAGAUUAUUUUAUUUUUAAAUACAUCUCUUUUUAUCUAUUUUGAUGACAAGUAUUUUCGAACGGAGGGAGUACGUG